rnacentral:rRNA from 1 species
UACGAAGGGGGCUAGCGUUGCUCGGAAUCACUGGGCGUAAAGCGCACGUAGGCGGAUCUUUAAGUCAGGGGUGAAAUCCUGGAGCUCAACUCCAGAACUGCCUUUGGUACUGGGGAUCUCGAGUCCGGAAGAGGUGAGUGGAACUCCGAGUGUAGAGGUGAAAUUCGUAGAUAUUCGGAAGAACACCAGUGGCGAAGGCGACUCACUGGACACAUAUUGACGCUGAGGUGCGAAAGCGUGGGGAGCAAACAGG